rnacentral:lncRNA from 1 species
AUGGAUCUUACACCACAAUCUUUAUACACGGUCAAGGUGAGGUUGGGAAAAGACCAUCAGUCCACUGGAUGGCCCUCUUCAGUUCCCGCUUCCUGUGGUCACCUGGCUCCAGGGGAUGGUUCCCGUGUCUCUCUUCUGGAGGGAAUUCUUUGGCUAAGGGCACAUGCUUGGCUUUCAGGGAGCAGGACAGAUGUUCCAGGGGGUGACAGCCCUCACACUGUGCGGAAUGAGAGCAGAAUCAGAAUCAAGGGGCUUCUGCCUUUGAGGCUCUGGCCCUGGCCCAGCCUCUCUGUAGAGCAUCAGCAGAGCAGGGAGCUGUCCCUAAAGGUGGAGGUAGAGUGGAGCCAUGCUUGACACAGAGGGAAGAGAGAACCAUCCCACCUCCUGCCACCAGUGGGGACAUGGCUGUGGGUUGUCACAGAGUGCUCCAUGCUGCCACGUGGCUCUGCCCCAAGGAAGGAUCUACAUGGGGGGUAUUUAAUACCUCAUGGAUUUGGAACCCAUCUUGGGGCCCCAGGCCCAGGAGCUGUAGAGCCAGAGCACCUAGGGGAGGCCCAGUCCCAUCCUGCCCACUCCCUUCCACAUCCCGCCCCGUCUGUACCCAAAGCCCU